ACUUGAUACUUCUAUCUGUCAACUAUAGCUGCCGACGGAUACUUUCGUUUGAAGACAACUUUGUUCAAUUAAAAGUUAAAAAAGAAAGGAAGAGGGUGUACAAUUUCGAAUCUCCUACCUUGUUUGAUUUGUGGAGUCGAUCAGGUGUGGUCGUAUUUUGCUGAUGCUGCGUCUGCGUUCUUUCCAUGGCCUUCGUUACUGAUACCAGUGGAAUGUGCCGGUCGCGUGGCUGCUUGCCCUUGUUGAGGUUGCAUUUUGUGUAUCAUUUGCAUUGUUUUGGUUAUGUUUCGCUUGGUCUAUGUAUACGAGUUGACACUUGCGUUGUUUGUGUAUUGCGGC
rnacentral:misc_RNA from 1 species